UACGAAGGGGACUAGCGUUGUUCGGAAUUACUGGGCGUAAAGCGCACGUAGGCGGAUUUGUUAGUCAGGGGUGAAAUCCCGGGGCUCAACCUCGGAACUGCCUUUGAUACUGCAAGUCUCGAGUCCGAUAGAGGUGGGUGGAAUUCCUAGUGUAGAGGUGAAAUUCGUAGAUAUUCGCAAGAACACCAGUGGCGAAGGCGGCUCACUGGCCCGGUACUGACGCUGAGGUGCGAAAGCGUGGGGAGCAAACAGG
rnacentral:rRNA from 1 species